AGUGAACGCUGGCGGUAGGCCUAACACAUGCCAGUCGAACGGCAGCACAGUAAGAGCUUGCUCUUACGGGUGGCGAGUGGCGGACGGGUGAGGAAUACAUCGGAAUCUACUUUUUCGUGGGGGAUAACGUAGGGAAACUUACGCUAAUACCGCAUACGACCUACGGGUGAAAGCAGGGGAUCUUCGGACCUUGCGCGAUUGAAUGAGCCGAUGUCGGAUUAGCUAGUUGGCGGGGUAAAGGCCCACCAAGGCGACGAUCCGUAGCUGGUCUGAGAGGAUGAUCAGCCACACUGGAACUGAGACACGGUCCAGACUCCUACGGGAGGCAGCAGUGGGGAAUAUUGUACAAUGGGCGCAAGCCUGAUCCAGCCAUACCGCGUGGGUGAAGAAGGCCUUCGGGUUGUAAAGCCCUUUUGUUGGGAAAGAAAAGCAGCAGGUUAAUACCCCGCUGUUCUGACGGUACCCAAAGAAUAAGCACCGGCUAACUUCGUG
rnacentral:rRNA from 1 species